rnacentral:rRNA from 1 species
UACAGAGGGGGCAAGCGUUGUUCGGAAUUACUGGGCGUAAAGGGCGCGUAGGCGGCCUGCUAAGUCGAACGUGAAAUCCCCUGGGCUCAACCCAGGAACUGCGUCCGAUACUGGUUGGCUUGAAUCCGGGAGAGGGAUGUGGAAUUCCAGGUGUAGCGGUGAAAUGCGUAGAUAUCUGGAGGAACACCGGUGGCGAAGGCGACAUCCUGGACCGGUAUUGACGCUGAGGCGCGAAAGCCAGGGGAGCAAACGGG